GGGUCCGUAGCGAAGUGGCUAUCGCGUUGGUCUUCGAUUAUCUAUGAGAACCAAAGAUCGUCGGUUCGAUCCCGGCCGGGCUCG
rnacentral:tRNA from 2 species